GGACACAUGAUUCAAAAUCAAUUUUUAUGGUGUACUAUUAUUGUAAAAAUAGAAGGCAAGAUAACUUUGAAUGUAUUGAGCAUCACAUAAAAAUAGAAAUAAAUUUAAUUAGCCAACUAAUAAAAAUAUGGUUGGGUUAUUGAAUUAUUAAAAUAAAAAUAGAUUGGAUGUCAAUAGAAGACUUCAUUCAUGAUGAUGAAACACUAAUUUUUAAGACAUUGCGCAAUUCUUCUCUGGUGAUUAUCCUGUGCAUGUGAUUGGAGACAUUUAAAUAUGAAAAUACCACUAGAAUGUUUUCAUGUUGACUUCCUCUUGCUCUUGGAACUUCUAAAUAACUGGAAACUCACUCACGCACACAAAGACCUUGAAAUUGAACGCACACGUUGGAGAACAUUAUUGAACAGCUACUGAGAAGUCCAAGCUGAUGCUACUGAAGAAUAUUUUUGCACCUCGCUAACCCUGGAAAGUGAAUUUAUUCAAAAUUUAAUCAGGUCAAGUGCAAGGAAGUAAGAUUAUUUAAUUUUCAAUCUUCAUUGGUGGUGAUUUGAAUGCUAGAUUAGACAGUGAAUGAAUUAAAUUGACUAAAUAUCAAUUAACUUGAUGAUAAAAAAA